UAGGGAAUAUUGGACAAUGGAGGCAACUCUGAUCCAGCCAUCCCGCGUGAAGGAUUAAGGCCCUCUGGGUUGUAAACUUCUUUUCUCUGGGAAUAAAAACCGGUAUUCAUAUCGGCUUGAAGGUACCAGAGGAAUAAGCACCGGCUAACUCCGUGCCAGCAGCCGCGGUAAUACGGAGGGUGCAAGCGUUAUCCGGAUUCACUGGGUUUAAAGGGUGCGUAGGUGGCUUUGUAAGUCAGUGGUGAAAUCU
rnacentral:rRNA from 1 species